rnacentral:rRNA from 1 species
GCGUACAAGUACCGUGAGGGAAAGAUGCAAAGUCGCGCGAAAGCGCUGUCAAAGAGUACCUGAAAUUGCUGAAAGGGAAGCGAAGGAAAUCAGUGUUUGCUGAGUCAUAUUUCUCACUCUGCUUGCAGAUUGGGCGCUGUGUCUUGGCGUGUGCCAGGCUUGGUUGGGUUUGUUGGAAUCGCCCUGUGAGAGUUGAUCACGGGAUGUCUGCAACGAGCUCGACUGAGGUUGACAAAAUGGUUUUCUUUACCCCGUCUUGAAACACGGACCAAGGAGUCUAACAUAUGUGCGAGUAUAGGAGUGUUAAACUCCCAUGCGUAAUGAAAGUGACAGUGGUUGGACCUUUGUGGCACAAUCCGCCGGCCUCAAUCC